UGCAGUAACUCCAUGGCCCAGUAAACCUUGCUCCACCGCCUUUCAAUGGUGAUUUGUUCCCUGUCCUGUAGGACUGAAGCCAUACCAGUGUCCCGAGUGUGAGUACUGCACCAACCGGGCUGAUGCACUGCGUGUGCACCAGGAGACCCGGCAUCGAGAAGCACGGGCUUUCAUGUGUGAGCAGUGUGGCAAGGCCUUCAAGACGCGCUUCCUGCUGCGCACCCACCUUCGCAAGCACAGUGAGGCCAAACCCUAUGUGUGCAAUGUGUGCCACCGUGCGCAUGGUGGCGGGCGCCUGUAGUCCCAGCUACUCGGAAGGCUCAGAUGGGAGAAUCACUUGAACCCAGGAGGCGGAGGUUGCAGUGAGCCAAGUUUCUCCAUGUUGGUCAGGUUAGUCUCAAACUCCCAACCUCAGGUGAUCCACCCGCCUCGGCCUCCCAGAUAUGCUCCCACAUAGACUGUCCAGCUCCUGAGGGGCUAGUGCAGACUUUCUUUUUCUUUUUCUUUUUUUUGAUACGGAGUGUCGCUCUGUCACCCAGGCUGGAGUGCAGUGGUGCAAUCUCAGCUCACUGCAACUCCCAGUUCAAGCGAUUCUCCUGCCUCGGCCUCCCGAGUAGCUGGGACUACAGGCAUGUGCCACCACACCCGGCGAGCUGCAGAGCGCAAUUUGGUCCUCAAUUUCUAAGAGACUUCAUGUCACCUAGAGAUGGACUUUGGCAGAGUUACCAAUGGCACCAAGGAGAUUACAGUGGGAUUCAGGGUGUCUCAGGUCUCUCUGAGGGGCAAGAAAGAAGAGAAUCAUUUUGUCUACUCCCUUGCUUCUGAGAAGGAUUAUGCCUAACCUGGUUCAUAUAGAGGACAAAUUGGCUCUGGUCACAGGUCACAGAAUGUUGGAGCUUGAAGGUUCUUUUUUUUUUUUUUUUUGAGACAGAGUCUCGCUGUCGCCCAGGCUGGAGUGCAGUGGUGCGAUCUUGGCUCACUGCAGGCUCCGCCCCCCGGGGUUCACGC
rnacentral:lncRNA from 1 species